rnacentral:rRNA from 1 species
UACGAAGGGGGCUAGCGUUGCUCGGAAUGACUGGGCGUAAAGGGCGCGUAGGCGGCAUAUACAGUCAGAAGUGAAAUUCCUGGGCUCAACCUGGGGACUGCUUUUGAUACGUGUAAGCUAGAGUGGAGAAGAGGGUUGUGGAAUUUCCAGUGUAGAGGUGAAAUUCGUAGAUAUUGGAAAGAACACCGGUGGCGAAGGCGGCAACCUGGUCUUCUACUGACGCUGAGGCGCGAAAGCGUGGGGAGCAAACAGG